GUUUGAUCCUGGCUCAGAACGAACGCUGGCGGCAGGCUUAACACAUGCAAGUCGAACGCCCCGCAAGGGGAGUGGCAGACGGGUGAGUAACACGUGGGAACGUCCCCCUCGGUUCGGAAUAACUCAGGGAAACUUGAGCUAAUACCGGAUACGUCCGAGAGGAGAAAGAUUUAUCGCCGAGGGAUCGGCCCGCGUCUGAUUAGCUAGUUGGUGAGGUAACGGCUCACCAAGGCGACGAUCAGUAGCUGGUCUGAGAGGAUGACCAGCCACACUGGGACUGAGACACGGCCCAGACUCCUACGGGAGGCAGCAGUGGGGAAUCUUGGACAAUGGGCGCAAGCCUGAUCCAGCCAUGCCGCGUGAGUGAUGAAGGCCUUAGGGUUGUAAAGCUCUUUCGACGGGGACGAUAAUGACGGUACCCGUAGAAGAAGCUCCGGCUAACUUCGUGCCAGCAGCCGCGGUUA
rnacentral:rRNA from 1 species